rnacentral:rRNA from 1 species
GACGAACGCUGGAGGCGUGCUUAACACAUGCAAGUCGAACGAUGAAAUGGAGCUUGCUCCAUGGAUUAGUGGCGAACGGGUGAGUAACACGUGAAUAACCUGCCCUUAAUUUUGGAAUAACCCAGGGAAACCUGGGCUAAUACCGGAUAAGUAAACCUGUGGCAUCACAUGGUUUUGGAAAGUUUUUCGAUUAAGGAUGGAUUCGCGGCCUAUCAGCUUGUUGGUGAGGUAAUGGCUCACCAAGGCGACGACGGGUAGCCGGCCUGAGAGGGGGGACGGCAACACUGGGACAGAGACGCGACCCAGGCUCGUGCGGGAGGCAGCAGGGUGGAAUAUUGCGCAAUGGACGAAAGGCUGACGCAGCGACGCCUCGUGAGGGACGAAGGUCUUCGGAUUGUAAACCUCUUUCAGCAGGGACGAAGCGAAAGUGACGGUACCUGCAGAAGAAGCACCGGCUAACUAUGUGCCAGCCGCCGCCGUAA